GCUGAGAUGGACCCUAGAAAGAUCCUUAAAACACACAGGCUUGGUCCCAACCUUACAGUCAAUUUUUACUCAACUUACACAUGCAAGUUUCCGCACCACCGUGAAAACGCCCUUUAACCCCCUCCUAGGGGGUAGGAGCCGGUAUCAGGCACAACUUUAGCCCAUGACACCUAGCUAUGCCACACCCUCAAGGGUACCCAGCAGUGAUUAACAUUAAAAAUAAACGGCAGUUUGAUUUAGUCAAAGUAAACCAGAGCCGGCAAAUCUGGUGCCAGCCGCCGCGGGUACACCAGAAGACUCAAAUUGACCCUCAUCGGCGUAAAGAGUGAUUAAAGCGCAAUUAAAUUAGAACUAAAUUUACUUUAAGCUGUAAAACGCUUGCACAUAAGAAACCCACAACAAAAGUUAUUCUAAUAACCCCAACUUGAACUCACGACAGCUAAGACCCAAACUGAGAUUAGAUACCUCCU
rnacentral:rRNA from 1 species